AUACGGAGGGUGCGAGCGUUAAUCGGAAUUACUGGGCGUAAAGGGUGCGUAGGCGGCUUGAUAAGUCGGAUGUGAAAGCCCCGGGCUUAACCUGGGAAUUGCAUUCGAUACUGUCAGGCUAGAGUAUGUCAGAGGUUGGCGGAAUUCCUGGUGUAGCGGUGAAAUGCGUAGAUAUCAGGAGGAACACCAGUGGCGAAGGCGGCUAACUGGGACAAUACUGACGCUGAGGCACGAAAGCGUGGGGAGCGAACAGGAUUAGAUACCCUAGUAGUCC
rnacentral:rRNA from 1 species